UACGUAGGGUGCGAGCGUUGUCCGGAAUUACUGGGCGUAAAGAGCUCGUAGGUGGUUUGUCGCGUUGUUCGUGAAAACUCACAGCUCAACUGUGGGCGUGCGGGCGAUACGGGCAGACUGGAGUACUGCAGGGGAGACUGGAAUUCCUGGUGUAGCGGUGAAAUGCGCAGAUAUCAGGAGGAACACCGAUGGCGAAGGCAGGUCUCUGGGCCGAUACUGACGCUGAGGAGCGAAAGCGUGGGGAGCGAACAGG
rnacentral:rRNA from 1 species